UACGUAGGGUGCAAGCGUUUAAUCGGAAUUACUGGGCGUAAAGCGUGCGCAGGCGGUUGUGCAAGACAGAUGUGAAAUCCCCGGGCUCAACCUGGGAACUGCAUUUGUGACUGCACGGCUAGAGUGUGUCAGAGGGGGGGUAGAAUUCCACGUGUAGCAGUGAAAUGCGUAGAGAUGUGGAGGAAUACCGAUGGCGAAGGCAGCCCCCCUGGGAUAGCACUGACGCUCAUGCACGAAAGCGUGGGGAGCAAACAGG
rnacentral:rRNA from 1 species